UAGGGAAUCUUCCACAAUGGACGCAAGUCUGAUGGAGCAACGCCGCGUGAGUGAAGAAGGGUUUCGGCUCGUAAAGCUCUGUUGUUAAAGAGAACGUGGGUAAGAGUAACUGUUUACCCAGUGACGGUAUUUAACCAGAAAGCCACGGCUAACUACGUGCCAG
rnacentral:rRNA from 1 species